rnacentral:rRNA from 1 species
AACGAACGCUGGCGGCAUGCCUAACACAUGCAAGUCGAACGAGACCUUCGGGCCUAGUGGCGCACGUGUGCGUAACGCGUGGGAACCUGCCCUUAGGUUCGGAAUAACUCCCCGUAAGGGGUGUUAAUACAGGUUAGUGUCAUCGGACCAAAGAUUUAUCGCCAUUGGAUGGGCGCGCGUUGGAUUAGCUAGUUGGUAGGGUAAAAGCCUAGCAAGGGGAGGUUCCAUGGCUGGUCUGAGAGGAUGAUCAGCCACACUGGGCCUGAGACACGGCCCAGACUCCUACGGGAGGCAGCAGUAGGGAAUAUUGGACGAUGGGCGAAAGCCUGAUCCAGCAAUGCCGCGUGAGUGAUGAAGGCCUUAGGGUUGUAAAGCUCUUUGACCCGGGAUGAUAAUGACGGUACCGGGAGAAUAAGCUCCGGCUAACUCCGUG